rnacentral:rRNA from 1 species
CCUACGGGUGGCAGCAGUGGGGGAUAUUGCACAAUGGGGGGCACCCUGAUGCAGCGCCGCCGCGUGGGUGAAGGAGUGCUUCGGCAUGUAAAGCCCUAUCGGCAGGGAAGAAGCAAGACGGUACCUGACCAAGAAGCCCCGGCUAACUCCGGGCCAGCAGCCGCGGUAAGACGUAGGGGGCGCGCGUUAUCCGGAUGCACUGGGAGUAAAGUGAGCGUAGACGGCAAUGCAAGCCAGGGGUGAAAGCCCGGGGCCCAACCCCGGGACUGCCCUGGGAACUGCAUGGCUGGAGUGCGGGAGGGGCAGGCGGAAUUCCUGGUGGAGCGGUGAAAUGCGUAGAUAUCAGGAGGAACACCGGCGGCGAAGGCGGCCUGCUGGACCGCGACUGACGUUGAGGCUCGAAAGCGUGGGGAGCGAACAGGAUUAGAUACCCCAGUAGUC